rnacentral:tRNA from 1 species
CAGGGGGUAGUUUAGGUAGAAUUUUGGCUUUGGGAGCCAAAGGUAGAAGUUUGAACCUUCUUCCCCUGA